rnacentral:lncRNA from 1 species
GGACCUGUUUAUAUGGGGAAAAGUUAUCCCGGUUAGCGACAAAACAUUUAGACAAGUUUACAAGUGAGACCUCGCCUUGUUAUGAAAAUAAUAUGAAAAUUUACACUACGAUCACAUGAGACGGAAAUGUUUUCCCGUAUAUACCAAGAUCUCGCUUGUUGACAGGCGAGAUCUCUGUGACCGCGAUGUUUUUCCCAUAUGAACCCAACAUCGACACAACUAUCCCACUUAGCGGGAAAAUUUUCCAUCGUGUCAGCAACGUUUCUGUUUUUAAAAUGUAUUUUAAAGUUUUUUGUCACAGCCGGAAACUUUACCCGGUAAGCGGGAUAACGUUUCUUCGUAUGAACAGAACAAAAUUAUUUGGCUAGUCGAAACGUUUUCUCGCUAAACGGGAUAACUUUUCCCCAUAUGAACAGGCUCGAGUCUCAAGUUUUAACCAACUCAAGUAUGGGGGCAGGGGGCGAAACUUGGGGGGGGGGAUGGGGGUGUGUGGCACACCCUCCCCCCCCCCCCCCCAAAAAAAAAAAAAAAAAAAAAAAAAAAAAAAAAAAAAAA